rnacentral:rRNA from 1 species
AUACGUUAGGAACAUGCCUUUGGGUGGGGGAUAAACUAUUGGAAACGAUAGCUAAUACCGCAUAACGUCUACGGACCAAAGGGGGCUUUCGGGCUCCCGACCCAGAGAGUGGCCUAAGCGGAGAUUAGCUUGUUGGUGAGGUAAAGGCUCACCAAGGCGACGAUCCUCUAGCUGUUCUGAGAGGAAGAUCAGCCGACACUGGAACUGAGUACACGGGUCCAGGACUCCUACGGGAGGCAGCAGUGGGGAAUUUUGGACAAUACGGGCGCAAGCCUGGAUCCAGCAAAUGCCGCGUGAGUG